rnacentral:tRNA from 1 species
GGACUCGUGGUGUAGUCUGGUUAACAUGCAAGAUUGUCGAUCUUGAGAUCGCGGGUUCAAAUCCCGUCGAGUCCG